AGCUAUCCAACACCACUGUACUUUGGGACCCGUGGGCAGUUUCGCUGCAACCUGGAGUGGCACCUGGGGCUCGGAGAAGGAGAAAAGGAGACUUCAAAGCCAGAUGGCCCAAUGGUUGCAGCUGGCCAGCCGAUGUCGAGAUGCUAGGAUCCGCCUCCUCCUGGCUCAGUGUAAUGCCUUGGUGCAGGGGACACUGACCCGGGUAGGACUCCUGGACAGGGUGACUCCAGAUCAGCUGUUUGUGAGUGUGCAGGAUGCAGCUGCUUAUGCCCUGGGGAGCCUGUUAAGGGGCAGUAGCACCAGGAGCGGGAGCCAGGAGGCACUGGGCUGCGGCAAGUGAGGCAGGGGAGCUCACUGACCCAAAGAUUUGCACCGUGUGGGUCUGACCUCAUCAUGUGGAGUGCAGAGGGCCCUGAUGACAUGUGUGUGAUGAGGACCAUGACCCUUGAACCCCCUUACCUAACGUAACUAAUAAAAUGAAGCUGAGAGCUUUGGAAUCCA
ensembl:lncRNA novel transcript